GGCCGGUUGACGCAGUUGGUUAGCGUGUGGAGCUAAUACACAUUGUCGUGUAACUCCAAAGUCGUGGGUUCGAGACCCACACGGGCCA